ensembl:lncRNA
GGGCGGGAGGAGCCGUCGGGGCCGCCCGUCUGUCUGUGUGGGCGGGGGCGGCCCCGCAAAGUGAAGGUCAAAGUGAAGGCUCCGUCCGCCCCUCCGCGCCGCUCCGCCGCAACGCCACGGCCGCCUCAGAGCCGCUCUUUGCUUCGGACCCCCCCACAGCCGCCCCCUCCCCUCCAUAUCCACCACGGGGGGAGGAGGGGGAGCAGAGAGCAAGAUGCAAACGCGUCUGCCGUGGAGGAAAUUAAACGUCAUAAAGAAAAGCCCAAUUAAGGUUUAAUGUCUGAACAUGACCAUUUCCUCCAGAAAACAAUGAAGUUCGCUCGCCAUACGCGGUCACAGCAAAACCCUCCAACCCCAAACGACGGAGUAAUGCCAAGAGGACUUCUGAUGCUGCACGGGACCGUGCGGAGCCGCGGUGCCACGAAACAAAUCCAUUCCUGAGGGGGUUUUUUUGCCCCCAUCCCUCCUCUUCUCCAACUCCAAACGAGAGACAGAAGUGCCGUUGCACACGUGGGUGUCCUCCGGGGGUAAAGGGGUGCGUGUGCACGGGAAGGGCUGGUGCGUGGGGCAUCCCUGCAUGGAGGUGGGUGAGGAUGAGCGUUCCUCAUCCCUUCACCUUCCUCCCGUCCACCGGCAGUGUUUGCUUUCCCAGCCCGAGCUCCGGGUUGGGCGGAGGUCCCCCCGUGAAGCAGCAAAAGGAUUUCUCUUCGUUUCGUUCCGAGCGACGCGGGUGUGAAGGAGAAAACCCAUUGCCGCAAAUGGGGACGGUCGGAGCCAGUCCCCAAAAACGGGCUGAGAUUCCCCCUACGCUCAAUGGGCGUUCGGGGGAAGUGCAAUUAUAUAUAUCUAUAUAAAUAAUAAUAAAAAUGGGGGGAUGCGGGAGCCGAGGUAUUAAAGAGCACCGAGGAAAGGAACUGACUUCCUGAGUGCUUAAGGAUUAAUACCGCUCCUGCAAACGUGUGUGUGGUUUUAAUAGGGCUGCGAGGAUUAACUGCCCACCUUCCAUUCCGAGCGCCGCUCGAAAAGAGCAUUUCAGGGCUAUUUUGCUAAUAUACGGUCUGCCCGGCAGAAAGCACAUUUUCCCUGCCACCAUUUCCGACUUUUUUGCCCAGUUUCGCACGUUUUGAUGUCACUGUUUAAGUUAUCAAGCCUGGAGAAUAAAGGGAUUUUCUUACUGAUGAAGGUUUGGGUGUGUUUUAUUUCUCUUCUUUUGUGUUUAAAUGAGGAUUUUGAGAGGUUUGGAGAUGGGGUU